CCCUACUCGCAAAGACGGAGAAGCAAAAAUCCCUUUUCUGAAACCCAAGUCCCUUACUAUUUUCGGCAGCUUGCUUUUGAAAUCAGCAACCCUACUGAUAAAAUGAUCCAAUCAGUCCUUCCCAGUUGUCAAGACAACAGUUCAUAAUUGUACCAGCUCUUUUCAUUGCAGCUAGACAUUUCAUAAAUAGAUAAUUCUCUAAUUGAUCCAGCCAAUCCUACUUUGCAUACCCUGCCAAACUAGCACAAGGAAUACCAUAUAUCAAAGCUGACCCCAUACUUCAGAUGUGUUCCAGGAUGGAUCUCCAAGCUGAAGACAGGAGAAUCUGAACGGUAUUUGAAGCAGUGAUAAUAUAACAGCAAGAGCCCAUCCAGGAAAGCAGUCAUGGCAUUGCCAGGACAUGAGCACCGAAUACCUCCAAACAUGUCCGUGGUGUGAGCAGCCUCCUGCAGGUGUCAAACUGGAUUUCUGAGGUGCUGCAGGACUGUGAUCCUUCUGAUCACCGUAAACAUAAGCACAGACUCUUUAGUGCAGUCCUGAUUUCUGUAUUAAUGAAUUGAGAAGAUGACAUCAGGCUCUUAGAGCACUGAGAGUUUUACACUGGUUGGGACUGCUUCAUCAUUCUGCGUGGGACUGGCAGCCAGCUGGGAGGUCCGCAGCACAAGCAGCUCUCUGUGAUGUUAAUUGACAGCGAUUGUUAUCAGCCCCACACAGGAUUAAGCAUUAAAAGAAUAACACUUUGUGGAUUGCAGUUUUAUUCACCACUUCACUGAAAUGCUGUGUGUUUUUUUAAUAUUCUGUGUACCAGAUUUAUUGUUAUUAUUAUAAACUGCUAUUGAUGUAUUGACUUGCACAGCUUGUUAUUACAGAAAGAAAAUGUUGUCAUACAGGAAAUUUGCUUCCUGAGAAUUUUGUUUUCACGAUUUACUUUCACUGCAGUUUGCUGUUGACUCAAUCCAAAGUGGCGUCUGUGGCUACUGACCACAUUUUUGAGGCUGUUCUUAGUUCUAAAGCAAAAUUUUUGUGUUGGUAUCAUCCAUGUAAUAACUAUCCAGGUGUUAUGUGGCUAGCAGUCCUUGCUGUUAAGUUCUUGGAUAUGGUACAGAGACUUAUGGGUUUGUUCACCCACUCCCCCUUCCACACUCUUAACAUAUGACCUUAGUUUUUUUCUGCAGAUCCGCUGGGAAAGACAAGUAUCUUGAGUGUAGCCAACACAGUUUUCUUCCUUGAUUCUGUUCAAAGAUGCAUACCUGGUCGUAUUCGUUAUCAUACUAUCUGUUUCACAUAACCUGAAAGUGAGGGCAGAAAGGAAUACUCUUCAAAAGAUAGUUAGUUGCUUGACGUAAGAUUGUGAUGAAGGUUGUCGUUCCAGUUCCUGAUAUAGAGAAACACCACAAAGGAACUUACUCUGGAGAUCAGGCAGAUCAGCAUCAGGAACUGCAGAACUGUCUUCUGUGGAGGACAUCUACAGAUCCUUUCAAAACAGAAAGCUGGGGAUCUUUGGAGAAACUAGAUACCAGUAUUCAAAAGAGCUAUUUUCCUUGGUAGGGAGCCCUUGUCACAACUUCAUAUCAUUUUCAACCUAUAUGAUAUUUCAAGGUUUAAAUGUCACAAAACAACUAUUUCUGAUGGCUUGGACCCAAGAGUUCAGUCAGAGCUGAUAUGUAAGACAAUGGUUAGGUUCAUUAGUUAGGCUUAUUGAGAUAAAUUCUUUUCUAGAUUAAUUUAAAGAGCCCUUAACAUUCACCAUAUGCUUACCAACAUAUUACUAAUCAGAAAAAAACUGUGUUUAAGUAAGGAGUGGUCAUCUUCGACUUGUACAUAUGUGAACCCUUCCACAUUUUUAUUUUCUUCCUAAAUUCUAGUGUCUUCAUUCCAUGAUACCUUUAUACAAAUAUAACCUUCCCUACACAUGUUAUGAGUUAGGGGUGAUGCAUGCUGGAGAGAGAGAAGAGGAAAAAUAGUAAUUGUAAAUAUAAAUUCACCGGAAGUGAAUCAUCAUGCAUAUACUUCGAUGGCUGAAAAAUAUAUAUUUAUUUCAAUUUCCUUCAUUUAUUUCAGUUUCUUGAGUUACUUGGACUCACCUGAAUUUAGAUUCAAGAGGACUUUAACAUAAAAUAUAUAGAUGAAUUUCAUGAUAUGUAUUUCAUUUUUUUAUCUAGUUUUGUAAUAAGCAGUGAAAAUCCAAAGUGUCACAAAUCAGCUAUGUCCAGUCCAAACGGAUCCUGGUGGACAAUAUUGCUGCUGUGAAAUGCCUUAGAAAUUAUUCUUCCCAGGGAAGAAUCAGAAGUAGGACCAAACCAUAGUUCUGAAUAUCUCUGAUAUGGAAGGGCAGUAUAUUUUAAAUGACAGUCCAGAAAACUCUGGAAGAACCAACUGGAGAUUCAUAGUAAAAAGAACCUGAUAUUUACUAGAAGUUUCUUCUGUUGUUGUUGUUUUGUCAUUUUUGUUUGUUUGUUUUUCUUUCUUGUUUGUUUUCAAAUCUUACUCGUGGAUGUAUAAAAUAUAAAGUUAUCUGUAGAACUAUUUCAGUUAAAGUCAGUUCCAAAGUGUGUGUUUGUUAUGAUUCAUAGGUGGCAAUUCAGCAUAAAAAUGAGGGAUAGUUUGCCCAGGAAGACAGACCAACUCCUAAUGUGUAUAACCAAAGUGCUGGGAGAAAUCUGUGUUGACCUGACACAGAGACAGCAGCAGCAGACAUGGACAUUGGAAUUCUUGUUAUUCUAAAAAAUGACAGGGGGAUCUGUGCACCGAGGAAUGAGGGGCUUGUACAGAGGAACUUUAUGCAGAUAUGGAUAUUUUAUUAUUAUUUUUUUCCUUAUUUCUGUAUUUUAUACCCUGUCAAGUGAGAAGUUUAUCAUUUAAUUCUAAAUGAGGGUAAACCUAAAGAAAAUAUAAAGGCCCUCUACAUAAGCUCCUGGAGGCAUAAACAUUAUUUAUAGCACUUCAUUCUUAUUUAACUGAGGCAAGUAAGUGCUAUAACUGCACAAAAUAAAGAGAUUAGAAAUGCGAUUUAACACAGUCAGGAACGAAGGUUAUUCAUCAGAAACAGCCAUUCAUUUUUAUUUAUUUAUUUAUUUUCCUCCAUUUUUCAUUGGCAUAGUUGACUAACACCCUGUUUUGAUAUUGACAGUUCAGGUAGGAGCAAAUGCAAGCACUAAUGACUUGGAUGAGUUUCUGCUCUUUGAAUUUGCUAGAGAUUUUAUUAAAUAACACUGUAGCUCAGGGUGAGCUGAUUGUGUUUCACAGCCUAUUUCCCCAUACUCCCUAAAUGCUGAUUUACCUAGAAUGAAAUGCAUGUACACAUACUCUGGAGCAUGUGUUAAAGCUGUGCUAAACAUUUUCCAUGUAACUUCCAGCUGGUAACAUUUUGCCAGAAAGCCUGGUACUUAGAAAUGAUAAAUAAAUAAAACAAACAGAAACUUGUGCUGUAAUAAGGAGACAAUGGAACAGCUGCAGGGCAUGGAGUAAAUUCAGCUUGACUUGAUGUGGACACAGUGGCUGGAUUUUACCCAAGAGAUAUUAGCAACGUUCAGAUUCCUAAAGGGAGGACUGUGGAAAGGGAAGAAGGGAUCUCAUUGGGAGGUCUCUUAGCACAUUUGGAAUAAUAAACACAGAAAUGAUGAAAAAUAAUAUUUAAGCAGCAAAAUCAGCAUGCACUGUCCUCCUGUAGGAUGUUGAAAAAAUAUGAACUUGUCUUGAGAAGAAAAAAUAAUGAACAGCGCUUUGUUUUGUUUUAUUUUGUUUGGAGGGAGAAUGCAAAGAAGAUGGAAGGGGGGCUGGAGCCUGGGGAGGCAAACUGUGUGACAACAGCCAUCAAAUGAAGGAAAGAGAAACAGCGAAGGUAAAGAAAGAAAGAGCAAACAGGGUGUGUAUCAAGUGUGCUAUUAAAGUGUGUUACUCAUUAAAAGAAAAGAAACACCCUCCAAAUUUCUUUAAUUCUAUUUGUAAGGGCAAAAGUAACACAUAGCAUAAAUACUUCUGUCAUGAAAACACUUUCACUUCAAGCAAAAACGUGCACAGUUCCUCAGCACCAGUAGUGGUAAGUACAAACACAACAGCAAAAGUUACAGUAGGUGGCACAUUUAUGUCUGUUUUUCUUUACCUUUCAUGGGUGGGCUUUCUUUUACUUUUACUUAUAGUAGUGUACAUUGAUCUUUGUGGAAUAUCUUAUAGCAACAGCCCAUUGAGUAUUAUUGGUGUUCUCUUGCUAUUUUGGGCAAAAUCCUAAUCUUUCUUUCCCAUACAAGGUGGUUCCAUAUAUAAUGUAUUUAUGUUUAUAGCUUUAGGCACUCACUUUUGAAUACAGUGACCUUAGAACUGUGCAAGGACCAGUGUCAGUGGUGAAACCAUAAACCAGACAUAAACCUUGUAAACAGUAUAUGUAAACUUGGUAAAUCAGGUUCCUGUACAUUAAUUUCCUGUCACUCAACUGGUAGGCAGAACUUUCCAGGAUGGAAACUGUAGUAGUUUAAGAGAAAGUAAAAUAGGGUCACAUUAAUCUGUACUCUCUUAUGUUUUCACUCAAAUGCAUAAAGGAGGCUAGGAGAGAAUUUCCAACAUAACUGUCACUCUAACUUUGGCUUGACUGGUUUGUCAAGAUCAAAUGACUUCACUUUUCUGGUAUGUGCUCCUCUGCCUUUUACAUCCUUGAUAUCCCAGUUUAUACAUGUGCACAUGCUGACUUCCUCCAGGACACCACAACCCAUCCUGAUAAUUGCACUGCUAAUGCUACCUGCUGUGUUAAAGGUCAGCAGAAAGGCCUUAGCGGUGAAGUGGCACUUGCCUAUCAAAAUGCAAAAUACUGGGGUGAAUGAAGUAAAACUCAACUAUUUUAUGUUACAAAACUCGAAACAUUCAAAGCCAAGUAUAUCAUUCUCAUGUUCCAAUACACGAAAAGAAUGUCACAGCAUGACUCCAUCUUCAUGACGGAGGCUGAAAGAAGAAUGAAAAAUAAUGCAAAGAUAUCUCCUUGUUAAAAUUUAUUGUAAUCAUGUGUUCUUCCUCUGCUAUUGCACUGAAAUAAAGACAUUUUAAUCCCACAGUACAACUGAGAGACCUCAUCUAAAAACUGCAAAAACUCUGGUUCUGAUAUUUUGAAACUCAGAGUACUUGUCACUUGUGAAUAUUCAUACAGACCAUUGAAAAAAUUAAAUUCUGCCUGCAAUGUUACAUGAAAUGAACAAGGAAAUGAACAAGGUAAAUCACAAAUAGACAACAGUAUUUUAUGGAACAUUUUAGAAACAUCGAGGGCAUCCACCAUAAAAUUCUUGUAGAAAAAUCAUUCGGGAUAAUACCAUCAUGGACCACAUGCUUUAGCGAUAAACAAAAUACAGGAAUCUGUCUUAAAGUCUAAUAAAGUUUUGAAUUCUUCAAGGUAACCUAGUAAUGCUUUUUUAUCCUACAUGCAGGAGUAUUCAUGCUGCUAAGACAUGGAAUAAAUAAGGCUUGUACAAACUUUGUAACAAAGAAGCUAGGAAACCAAACUAAACACUGGUUUUGUCUCAAUGGAAAUUUUUUUUUUUUUUUUUUUUUUUUUUU